rnacentral:rRNA from 1 species
AGUGAACGCUGGCGGUAGGCCUAACACAUGCAAGUCGAACGGCAGCACAGUAAGAGCUUGCUCUUACGGGUGGCGAGUGGCGGACGGGUGAGGAAUACAUCGGAAUCUACUUUUUCGUGGGGGAUAACGUAGGGAAACUUACGCUAAUACCGCAUACGACCUACGGGUGAAAGCAGGGGGUCUUCGGACCUUGCGCGAUUGAAUGAGCCGAUGUCGGAUUAGCUAGUUGGCGGGGUAAAGGCCCACCAAGGCGACGAUCCGUAGCUGGUCUGAGAGGAUGAUCAGCCACACUGGAACUGAGACACGGUCCAGACUCCUACGGGAGGCAGCAGUGGGGAAUAUUGGACAAUGGGCGCAAGCCUGAUCCAACCAUACCGCGUGGGUGAAGAAGGCCUUCGGGUUGUAAAGCCCUUUUGUUGGGAAAGAAAAGCAGCAGGUUAAUACCCCGCUGUUCUGACGGUACCCAAAGAAUAAGCACCGGCUAACUUCGUG